UAGACAGAUUAUUGUAUUCGACUGUAUUCACGAUAUGUAUUUGUGAAUACAGUAACGUAAAUAGCGCAAUUCAUGGUCUAUUCAGCUAUUUUUAAAUGAAAGUGAAUCAAUUAACAUAAUAGACUGCU
rnacentral:pre_miRNA from 1 species